rnacentral:lncRNA from 1 species
AAGACGGGCAAAUUCUCAGCAGUGACAGCCUCUAGGACUUUGUCGCCCACUGCUUUCGUGAAAGCCGGACCUCCCGUGACGGCUCCCUCCUUCUGAGUGGUCACGAGCAGUACGAUUCCCUUGUUGUUACCUUCUUCCAGAGUUGGAUACCACUUCUCCAGGACCUGUAACAGAGUUCACUUAAGAGUGAGUUUGCGGUCACAUAAUUUCAGCGCACGAAGGAUUGUAAUUGCAGAAGAAGGGAAAUGAGAGCUACCGCGUCGGCGAAUUCAAAAGAGUCAGCUUUGCUAGUGAGCUUCCUCAGAGUGAUGACGUUAAUGUGGUAGCCCUUGCGCUCUUCGAGGUCACGAAGCAAGCGCUUUAUGUCAGAUUUUGUGACGCGGUUGAGCACGUUGGCAUCAUCUACCACGAAGUUUUCCGUGGGCGGGCCUUCGUUCAAGACGUUGAACUCGCUGGCUUCCGAGUAGGGGACUGCUGGGCAGAGGUUCAUCGCCGCGGAGAGGGCCAAGGCGGCCAGCCCAGUGCCCACAGUGGAUUUGGCCUUGCUCAGAGCAUCGCUCAGGCUAGCCUUGGUUGCGCUCACUGCAAGGUUGCAUUGAGGUUUGUUCUUGCGUGCGCCCGUCGAGAGUGAGGGUAAUGAGGCACCUGUUACAAGAAAUUCAAGCACCCUUCACCAAUCAGCCUCAUGACCUAACUAGAUACCUUGGAAAACGUACUUUGUGAUAAAACCAAAACUUUCCAAGACAUAAGUCACAACCGCAUUGCAAUACAAGCAACUGAAUACUACACGGUAGCUUCUUGUGCCCGCUUAAAAACUACAGGCGUAAGUUCAAGUCCUACAACAAUUGACAUCGACAGGAACCAAAAAUCUGGUUCAAAACUCACAUCAUCAAUGAAACCACGAUCACACACAGAGAAACUAAAUAGCCAAACGUACAAAUUCAGCAAAAUUGACGGCAGCGAUGAGCAACUACUUCUUCAGCGUAGAAUUUAAACGUAUUAUGCUUCUCC